GACGAACGCUGGCGGCGUGCUUAACACAUGCAAGUCGAACGGAAAGGCCCUGCUUUUGUGGGGUGCUCGAGUGGCGAACGGGUGAGUAACACGUGAGUAACCUGCCCUUGACUUUGGGAUAACUUCAGGAAACUGGGGCUACUACCGGAUAGGAGCUCCUGCUGCAUGGUGGGGGUUGGAAAGUUUCGGCGGUUGGGGAUGGACUCGCGGCUUAUCAGCUUGUUGGUGGGGUAGUGGCUUACCAAGGCUUUGAUGGGUAGCCGGCCUGAGAGGGUGACCGGCCACAUUGGGACUGAGAUACGGCCCAGACUCCUACGGGAGGCAGCAGUGGGGAAUAUUGCACAAUGGGCGGAAGCCUGAUGCAGCAACGCCGCGUGCGGGAUGACGGCCUUCGGGUUGUAAACCGCUUUCGCCUGUGACGAAGCGUGAGUGACGGUAAUGGGUAAAGAAGCACCGGCUAACUACGUG
rnacentral:rRNA from 1 species